rnacentral:lncRNA from 1 species
AAAAAAGAACCAUUUUAAUACCUUGCUCCAGGUGUUUUACUUGAUAAGGAUAAGAUAAAUCCAUUUGAUAAGGACAAGAAAUAAGGUGUGCCUAAAUUUCAUAUGCCAGUCUACAUGGAAAAAAUAUGUUUGUAUUUCAGUAUAUAUUUUUAAUUGUGGGUCUUGUUUUUUAACAGAUUGAAGCUUUUAUUCUCCAGCUCUGUAGCAUUUGCAAAGUUUGCGGUAACUUUGUCUCUCUCAGCCCAUUAUCCAUUAGUCCCAUUACCUUUCACCAUUCAGAAUCACCUUGGAAACACUAGGUAAGUAAAGGGCCAGCAGGAUAAGACUCCCAGCUACCUUUUUACCUUUGUUAUCUCUCAAAGUCAUCAUCAUCAAGGGUAGUGAGAACUAAAUGUCACUUCUUUGUGAUUUCAUUUCGGAGGGUUUAUUCUUUUAAUUUCAGUGACCUUAAUUACUAUCUCCAGUAGAUGCUAGAGUCCAUUAAUGUAUUCAUUCAUACCUUCUUCCACUUUUUUUUUUUUUUUUUUCAUAUCAGGUAUUGGACUCAGGGGCACCUGACCACUGAGCCACAUCCCUAGCCCUAUUUUGUAUUUUAUUUAGAGCCUUAGUAAGUUGCUGAGGCUGAUUUUGAACUCUGAAUCAAUCCUCCUGCCUCAGCCUCCCGAGCCACUGGAAUUACAGUUGUGUAUCACCACUUCUUCACUUUUGAACCCUCCUACCUAAAACAAUAAUCUAUAAGGAAAAAAAAUUCUACAUAGUUUUAGCCCAGAUCAUAUGUCAACAAUUUUUUUGUCCUUAAAAAUAACAAUCACUUGAAAAAGCUGUGUUUUCAUAACACUAUUCUCAAUUCGUCUGUGGAAGCAGACCUGUAAAUGUCUUAUUCUUAGUAGGUUGUGAUCUAUUUUGUGACUUUUUUUAGACACACUGCUGACAGACUGGGAGAAGACAGAAUUUAAAUCCAUCAGCAAACACUAAUAGUUUAGAAUUUUAUUUAAAGAAAACAACUAGAUCAGGAUAGCUUACAAUUACAUAUAGAAUUAGUUCUCAGGCUUUGUUUCACAAUCGCAUUUCAACUUCUCAGUCUGCUUAUUUAACGAAAUACCCAUUUGUGCUUCUUGGGAAACUAAAAAACUUUAUCCAAGAACAUGAGUAGCACCGAAAUGAAGACAAAUAUAAAUUUCCAGAAAAUGAAUUAACCUUUUGUUUUUCUGUAGCCAAGAUGAAAUUGCUGCCGUUAUAUAUAAAGUGCCAUUAGCGGACAACUACCUGAAGAAUAUUGUCAAGCAAAUUUACCAAGAUCUACUUCAGGGCUGCCAUUUCUGCUGCUAGACCCAUGGACCACAGCUGUAACAACCAAGCAAGAAUUCACUUGAUAUUGUGUCAUGGUCUCUAUUGUCAUUUAACUUUACCUUUAGGUCAUAGUAAAAUUCCUUUUGAUGAUGUAAUAGUAAAUUUAUAUGGUCUGUUUUUAAAUCUGUACAAUUAGAAAUGAUAAAAGCUUUCAUAUAGCUUUGUCAGGAUGCUCGUCUUUAUACCGAAGGUAUAAUAGGGAACUUAGGGAAAUUUUCCCCUAACUAAAGUUGUGCUAUCUGCUUUAGUAUAACAAUAAGAAAUAACUUAAGAGGCAUUCACUGAUAAAACUAAGCUGUUCCCUAUGUAUAGAGCUAUUAGGUAGUCUGGCUUCUUCCUAGCAGAUAUUGCUAGAUUUAGAAAUAUGUCUGUCAACAGCUUGGUAUGGUGCUAUGCUUUUGUAAUCUCAGCUAUUCAGGAAGGUGAGGUGGGAGGAUCACUUGAACCCACAAGUUUAAGUCCAGCCUGAACAACAUAGCAAGAUCCUAUCUCAACAGCAACAAAAAAUAAACAUGUCUGUCUACAAACUAUUCAUCCUCCUUUUUCUCCAUUUCAGAAAUGAUAUGAAGAGAAAGCAUUAGCACUCUUGGACUGGUUGCUAUCUUUUCUUGGGGCCUUGCCCUUUAUUCUAUAGUGUCUAUUAAAAUUAAUUCAUUUUGACCAAGUACAUGUAUAUAAAUAUAUUAAUGUUGUUUUUGUUUGUGAUAUAAUGUUUGCCUUCUGCCUAAGUAUAUGAAGCAUUUUCAGCAAGAUUUUCAAUCUUCUUUUAUUAAAUAAUGAGAUUUAAAACUAUCAUAUCCAAAACUCUAGUUUCUGGUAGUAAUAGUAAACUUUCCUGAAGCCACACAGUCCUCAUACACAAAAAUUAGAAUAUCCAUUAUUAAAUGACCAGUAUUAUCUAUGAAAGAACAUUCACCCACACUUUAGUCAAAUCCGAAUCAUGAUAAUUUACAUUUUCUGUGUUGAAUUCUAAAUUAAAAUAUUUGUAUUUUUAAACAAAUUUGUGUUAACAUUUUGCUUUUUAAUUUAAGAGAAGGUUAAAGUCCUGUGGGUCUGUGUAUCUGUCCUCUUCAUUGGUUUUUUUUUUUACUUUUAAUCAAAAGAUUACCUGAUUUUUAGCUUCAAAAGUCAACAAAAAUGCUGUGCGUGGUAACAGAUACUGGUAAUCCUAGUGAUUUGGGAGGCUGAGGCAGG